UGUGUUCCGGGGUUUUUGGUUUAUGUUCUUGUUUUGUAUUCUAGGGUUUCUAUGUUGUGUAUUUCUUUGUUGGCCUGGUGUGGCUCUCAAUCAGGAACAGCUGUACAUCGUUGUUUCUGAUUGAGAGUCAUACUUAGGGAGCCUGUUUGCCACCUGUCCCUUUGUGGAAGAUUGUUUUUGCACUGCUGUGUAUAGCCUGCGAAACUGUCGUACUGUCGUUUAUUGUUUUUUCGUGUUCACCUAUAAAUAAAAUAAUGAUGAGCACGCAACCCGCUGCGCCUUGGUCUAAUCCCUUCGACUACCGUGACAGGUGAAGACCGUUGUGCAUGGAUCUAAUAUGCCUAGCGAACUGAUGAUCUGUUGCUGUCUGUUUGAUUUACAGAAGGGUCUCGUUAGAUUUAACAGAAAAGCAUCAAGGUAAUGAGUUCAUGUUUUCAUCUAGUUUCGUGCCUCGGAUUGGACUAAAAGUAACACUUAGUUUUUUUCCUAAUUACUCAGAGAUUGAUAAGAGUUAGAGAGACCAUAUUUAAUGACAAACAACUUAUGCUGUAUACAUUGAGUAUACCAAACAUUACGAACACCUUCCUAAUACUGAGUUGCAAUGCUCUUUACAUUCAGUAAAUAUACUAUCAGUCAUCAUUUUAUGUUUGUGUCGAUUUGAAUGACAUUGCUAUGGUUUUAUGAAAUUCAUGAAAAUGAAUUAUGUGUCAACAUCACAAUGUUGCGCAACCAAAAUACAAUAUUAAAGGUGCACUAGGGAGAAAUCUCUCUGCCAUUUCCUGGUUGCUAAAAUUCUCAAAGUUUGCCUACUUUCAGUUUAUAUGACAAAACAAGCAAGUACAGAAUCAUUGCACCAUCUAAACCGCUGUGAAAUAUAUUUUCCAUAUCCAAAAAUAUUGUGUUUUAAGCUAUUUGAAGCUGGUGUACAAAACUGAAAAUGAAAGAUGCAAAAACAUUAUUUAAGAACAGGAAGCAUAGAAAUAGCUGUUACGUCCGUUGUUCAAUGAAGACCAAGGCGCAGCAUGGUAGGCGUACAUUUUCUUUAAUAUUAAAUGUACCACCAAAAAACAAUAAACAAUACAACAAACGUGAAGCUAGGAGUGCAAAACACAUGCAACACAAAAGACAAGAUCCCACAACUGAAGGUGGAAAAAAGGACUGCCUAAGUAUGAU
rnacentral:lncRNA from 1 species